GAUGAAGAACGUAGCGAAAUGCGAUAAGUAAUGUGAAUUGCAGAAUUCAGUGAAUCAUCGAAUCUUUGAACGCACAUUGCGCCCCUUGGUAUUCCGAGGGGCAUGCCUGUUCGAGCGUCAUAUUAACCACUCCCGCUUGCGGGGUCUUGGGCUUCGCCUCCGGGCGGGCCUUAAAAUCAGUGGCGGUGCCGUCGGGCUCUACGCGUAGUAAAUUUUCUCGCGAUAGGGUUCCGGUGGAUGCUUGCCAACAACCCCCAACUUCUUAAGGUUGACCUCGGAUCAGGUAGGGAUACCCGCUGAACUUAAGCAUAUCAAUAAGCGGAGGA
rnacentral:misc_RNA from 1 species